GACGAACGCUGGCGGCGUGCCUAACACAUGCAAGUCGAGCGGAGACAGUGAGUAGCUUGCUACGAACUGUUUUAGCGGCGGACGGGUGAGUAACGCGUGAGCAACCUUUCCCAGACAGGGGAAUAACACACCGAAAGGUGUACUAAUACCGCAUAAGACCACGGUUUCACAUGGGACUGAGGUAAAAGAUUUAUCGGUUUGGGUGGGCUCGCGUCCGAUUAGGUAGUUGGUGAGGUAACGGCCCACCAAGCCGACGAUCGGUAGCCGACCUGAGAGGGUGAUCGGCCACAUUGGGACUGAGACACGGCCCAAACUCCUACGGGAGGCAGCAGUGGGGAAUAUUGGGCAAUGGGGGGAACCCCGACCCAGCAACGCCGCGUGGAGGAAGAAGGUUUUCGGAUCGUAAACUCCUGUCCUUGGAGACGAGUAGAAGACGGUAUCCAAGGGGGAAGCCCCGGCUAACUACGUGCCAGCAGCCGCGGU
rnacentral:rRNA from 1 species